AUCAGGAGUUCUCUGCCAGAAGGAAAAGCUCCCAGAGCAGCACAACCAGAAGGAGCUGAGGAAGACAGAAAAUACCUGGGCACAGAGGAGAAAGCUGAAAUAGCAAAUUCUGCUAUGCAGGGGGAAGGUGGCUACACCCCCAUGGAGAAUUAAGUGUGCAGACAAAACCCAACCUCAACUUGGCAGCUGCAGUGGGAAUGCCAACAUUCCACCUCUCCCUGCAGGGAUCAGGAACUUUAAGACCACUCAGGGAAGGGGGAGAGCUGCUCCAGCAAAUGUCACCAAAGCUCUCACGACAGGAAUCAUCCUCAGCUGCAGCUCAGGAAAUGGCAACGCCAACAGGGAGAUGACCAGGACAAGGAAUCUGAUGCAUUUAACUGAUCCUCUACAAUGUCUGACAAGCUCAAAUGGUUUUGCUUCUUGCUCUUCCUUCAAUUUGCCUUUUUUUGAUAGCCCCACAGUAGCCACAGCGAAGAAAAUUAAUUCUGUCACAAGCUUCUCCUGAAAUACUAAAAUGUUAAAUGUGG